GACGAACGCUGGCGGCGUGCUUAACACAUGCAAGUCGAGCGGUAAGGCCCUUUCGGGGGUACACGAGCGGCGAACGGGUGAGUAACACGUGGGUGACCUGCCCUCAGCUCUGGGAUAAGCCUGGGAAACCGGGUCUAAUACCGGAUAUGACUCCAUGACGCAUGUUGUGGGGUGGAAAGCCUUGUGCGGCUGAGGAUGGGCCCGCGGCCCAUCAGCUUGUUGGUGGGGUGAUGGCCUACCAAGGCGACGACGGGUAGCCGGCCUGAGAGGGCGACCGGCCACACUGGGACUGAGACACGGCCCAGACUCCUACGGGAGGCAGCAGUGGGGAAUCUUGCGCAAUGGGCGAAAGCCUGACGCAGCGACGCCGCGUGAGGGAUGACGGCCUCGG
rnacentral:rRNA from 1 species